GUCGGUUCGCCGCCUGUCGGUGUAACUGGCAUGUCGCGGCAUGUCCUGUCGGUGGUGAACGGGAUCCCCGGUGCUGUUUAGGCUUAAUUGCCGAAGCAUGCACCGUGUGUUUUUCCGUUUGCCGAUCUCUCCUACUCCGGUGCUCUUAAACGAGUGUCGAGGUAGGCCGACACGUUCACUUUGAACAAAUUAGAGUGCUUAAAGCAGGCUGAAAUAUCUGCCUGAAUAGUGGUGCAUGGAAUGAUAAAACAGGACCUCGGUUCUAUUUUGUUGGUUUUAGGAAUAUGAGGUAAUGAUCAAUGUGGACUGGCGGGGGCAUUCGUAUUGCGACGUUAGAGGUGAAAUUCUUGGAUCGUCGCAAGACGCACUAGAGCGAAAGCAUUUGCCAAGUAUGUCUUAAUUGAUCAAGAACGAAAGUUAGAGGUUCGAAGGCGAUCAGAUACCGCCCUAGUUCUAACCAUAAACGAUGCCAGCCAGCGAUCCGCCGAUGUUCCUUUAAUGACUCGGCGGGGAGCUUCUACUCGGGAAACCAAAGCUUUUGGGUUCCGGGGGAAGUAUGGUUGCAAAGCUGAAACUUAAAGGAAUUGACGGAAGGGCACCACCAGGAGUGGAGCCUGCGGCUUAAUUUGACUCAACACGGGAAACCUCACCAGGCCAGGACAUUGGAAGGAUUGACAGAUUGAUAGCUCUUUCUUGAUUCAGUG
rnacentral:rRNA from 1 species